UGUAAUUAAUGUAUUUCAGUAUAGAAUUUUUUAUACAAAUCAGAUUCUUGUUUAUAUAUGAAGUUGAGUGAUCCUAUAAUAAAGCUAAGGGAAAGUCACUCUUUUCAAAGCUACCUCAUUGGGAUUUUGCAUUGAAAUCAUCAAGAUCAUGAGCAGAAGUUGAGGAAGAGGCUGUGAUGGAAAAUGAAGUUGAAAGCUCGUUUUCCAUCUGUUUAUGAUGUUCUUUCCUUGCCUUAGAACUCAUAUAUGACUCUUCAUUGAUUUCAUAUAAAUCACUGGCAAAAGCAGCUGAAGAAUCAUGCUCAGACCCAACUCAUGUUGAAUUUUUUCCUCUUGCACUCUGACUUCUUGUUUGUAUUUUAUGCUCUCUUAUGGCUUUAAACCUCAAGUCUUCAUUAUAGCUACUUGCUUCAGGGAUUAUAUCAGGUAUACUUCUAGUUCCCUCUAGCAUGCACAACACUUCAGACAUUGUUGGUCUUAGUGAAGAUGAAGCAUUUGUGCAUGAGAGAGCAGUUUUAAUCAUCCUUUCUGCUUCUACCUCCUUGAAAUCAGAUCCACGUUUCUCAUCCACAAGCUCCAUCAGGUUUCCAUUUUGCUGCAAGUAGCAAGCCCAGUCUAGAAGGCAAGCAAAUUUGUUCUCUGGCCCAUAAUUCAUAUUGUGUUUCCCACUAACAAGUUCCAAUGCCACAAUUCCAAAACUGUAAACAUCAGCUUUGUGGGUCAAAUAACCCCAUAAUGCAUAUUCUGGUGCCAUAUAUCCCAUUGUUCCAGCAAUCCUGGUGCUGAUGUGGGUUUUUUCCUCUGAAUCAAGUUUAGCCAACCCAAAGUCAGAUAUUUUAGGGUUUAGAUGCUUAUCAAGGAGAACAUUGGUAGCUUUGAUGUCCCUAUGAACAAUUUUGAGCCUCGACUCUUCAUGCAGAAAAGCUAAUCCUCUAGCUAUCCCAACACAGAUACUCUGCCUCGUUUGCCAGUCCAGUUUUAUUUGGCAGUGUUCAGGGCCAAACAAAGCACGAGCAAGGCUAUUAUUUUCCAGGUAUUCAUAUACUAGCAGUAGUUGAUUUCCUUCAAUGCAGCAACCAUGAAGUUUGACAAGAUUUGGGUGUUGCAAACAUGAAAUCAUGCCUAUCUCAUUCAAAAAUUCACGAUUUCCCUGACUUGACUUAGAUGAAAGCUGUUUCACAGCAACUACUGUGCCAUCAGAUAGCAAACCCUUGUAGACCGGUCCAAAUCCACCUUCUCCAAUUUUGUUGGCAGGAUCAAAAUUGUUAGUGGCAGCUCUAAUUUGCUUUAGGGUAAAAGAAAUAGUUUGACUUUUGAGUCCUUCAAAAUCUUUUUGUGUCUCAUUCUUUGCUCUGAAAUAGCACCUCCACACAAUGAUACUCAAUGCUAAUAGAAUGAGACAUGAACCUACAACUCCAACAACAAUUGGUGCAAUUUUUGUCUUCCUUCCAUCUGAAGG
rnacentral:misc_RNA from 1 species